AGCUCAGUGGUCUAGUGGUCUAACAUCGCGGUGCCUCGGCCAGGCCCGAGACGCGGGUUCGAACCCCGCCUGAGCCG
rnacentral:tRNA from 1 species